rnacentral:rRNA from 1 species
UGGGUAAUCUGCCCUGCACUUCGGGAUAAGCCUGGGAAACUGGGUCUAAUACCGGAUAUUAGCUCCUGCCGCAUGGUGGGGGUUGUAAAGUUUUUCGGUGCAGGAUGAGUCCGCGGCCUAUCAGCUUGUUGGUGGGGUAAUGGCCUACCAGGGCGACGACGGGUAGCCGGCCUGAGAGGGUGAUCGGCCACACUGGGACUGAGACACGGCCCAGACUCCUACGGGAGGCAG